UUCGCUGCAGAGAACACCGGAGGAGUUUCAGCGUCGUUGCGGCUGACACCGGUGUGCAGGCUUGUGCUCUUCCUCCACCAAGCUGGAGCAGAAAGGCCAUACUGCGCACGGGUGCGUCAGCAGCAUCUACGCAAACAAACACGGUUCCUGCCUGUCUGGGGAGAGAGUGAAGGCCCCCCGCCCCUUCGGCCAUGGAUCCGAUAAGGCAGCCGCGACGUACUACAAGCCGAGCAUCCACAACCCGGCCUUCCGCCCGAACAUGCCGCACUUGCUGUCCGCCCAGCCUGGGACUCUCGAAGGGCGAGCGAAACGUCAACGCCGGCCGAGCUGUGCGCUUCAGCGAGCAAACAUGAGCGCCCAACUUCAGACAGCGGACCUAAAAGUGAUUAUCCUGGGAGAGUCGAAUGUCGGCAAAACGUGCCUCCUCGUUCGAUACCUCGAGAAGCGGUUCGAAGAGUUUC